GGAAGAAGAAAAAAAAAUUGAAAAUCUCGCCGGUUUAUGGAAGAAAGUCAGAGGGAGAGAGGAUUACGUCGCCGUUGGUGAUCAUAUACCGGCUAUCGGAGCUAAGCCUUCGCGCAAAAUGGUCCCUAUCUUGCAGGAGCUGGACCAAUGGCUUUCCCUCGUCGUGAUGCAAUCCAUUUAUUUACUCUGCAUGAUGUGCAUGUUGAAUGAAGACUGGAGGGUUUUUAUUAAGGUUGAUCAAAUCUCUGUCUGGCAUCACUGUAAAUGCAUGUUUGAUUGAAUAAAUAUAUUUGCUUACUACUACUUGAUAUUUGAUAAUCAUUUUUGCUUGUUUACUACUUGUACUGUGACGACUGCAUUGAGUUUAUCUUUGUUUUUUUUUACUAAAUGACUUUAUUUCUUCAAUUCUAAUUUGCCACUUGACCUGUGUCUGAA